rnacentral:rRNA from 1 species
UAGGGAAUCUUCCACAAUGGACGAAAGUCUGAUGGAGCAGCGCCGCGUGAGUGAAGAAGGGUUUCGGCUCGUAAAACUCUGUUGUUAAAGAAGAACAUAUCUGAGAGUAACUGUUCAGGUAUUGACGGUAUUUAACCAGAAAGCCACGGCUAACUACGUGCCCG